rnacentral:sRNA from 1 species
GGAGCCAAGAUGCAAUCAGUAUUGAUGCCCUGACAUGUCUAUUCUGAUUCUACCACCCAGUACCUCUUAGCUGGGCACUAAUCUAACCACAAUGACAGCCGUGUGACACUGUUUGAGGGGGACAACUUCCAAGGCUGCAAGUUUGACCUCGUUGAUGACUACCCAUCCCUGCCCUCCAUGGGCUGGGCCAGCAAGGAUGUGGGUUCCCUCAAAGUCAGCUCCGGAGCGUGGGUGGCCUACCAGUACCCAGGCUACCGAGGCUACCAGUAUGUGUUGGAGCGGGACCGGCACAGCGGAGAGUUCUGUACUUACAGUGAGCUCGGCACACAGGCCCACACUGGGCAGCUGCAGUCCAUCCGGAGAGUCCAGCACUAGGCUCCAUGGCCCCAGACACCUUCCCUGAGGACACUCAAUAAAGGUUCCUGAAUCUUCCUGCC